rnacentral:rRNA from 1 species
AGUGAACGCUGGCGGUAGGCCUAACACAUGCAAGUCGAACGGCAGCACAGUAAGAGCUUGCUCUUACGGGUGGCGAGUGGCGGACGGGUGAGGAAUACAUCGGAAUCUACUUUUUCGUGGGGGAUAACGUAGGGAAACUUACGCUAAUACCGCAUACGACCUACGGGUGAAAGCAGGGGAUCUUCGGACCUUGCGCGAUUGAAUGAGCCGAUGUCGGAUUAGCUAGUUGGCGGGGUAAAGGCCCACCAAGGCGACGGUCCGUAGCUGGUCUGAGGGGAUGAUCAGCCACACUGGAACUGAGACACGGUCCAGACUCCUACGGGAGGCAGCAGUGGGGAAUAUUGGACAAUGGGCGCAAGCCUGAUCCAGCUAUACCGCGUGGGUGAAGAAGGCCUUCGGGUUGUAAAGCCCUUUUGUUGGGAAAGAAAAGCAGCAGGUUAAUACCCCGCUGUUCUGACGGUACCCAAAGAAUAAGCACCGGCUAACUUCGUG